rnacentral:rRNA from 1 species
GACGAACUCUGGCGGCAUGCUUUACACAUGCAAGUCGAACGGCAGCGCGGGCUUCGGCCUGGCGGCGAGUGGCGAACGGGUGAGUAAUGCAUCGGAACGCGCCCAGUAGUGGGGGAUAGCCCGGCGAAAGCCGGAUUAAUACCGCAUACGACCUGAGGGUGAAAGCGGGGGACCGAAAGGCCUCGCGCUAUUGGAGCGGCCGAUGUCGGAUUAGCUAGUUGGUGGGGUAAAGGCUUACCAAGGCGACGAUCCGUAGCUGGUCUGAGAGGACGACCAGCCACACUGGGACUGAGACACGGCCCAGACUCCUACGGGAGGCAGCAGUGGGGAAUUUUGGACAAUGGGGGCAACCCUGAUCCAGCCAUGCCGCGUGCGGGAAGAAGGCCUUCGGGUUGUAAACCGCUUUUGUUCGGGAAGAAAUCCUCUGGGCUAAUACCCCGGGGGGAUGACGGUACCGGAAGAAUAAGCACCGGCUAACUACGUG